CAGCUCUUCCCGACAAGCCUACCGCUUGCCGAGACACCGCGGGCGAGCGCAGGAUGCGGUUGUCGACCGCGCGGCGAGCGUGGGACCUUCUGGGGAGCGUUUCAGGCUAUGUACUGGCGCUGCGUUGUCCCUUCCAGUGAAUGCAGUGUGUCGUCCCUAGCCCCGUCGCGACUGCUCUUCCCGGCGCCUCCCAGGCCCACGCAGCCCGAAGACCCGCGGCCGGCUCGCAGUUCCCGGCAUGCCCUGGGUCUGCGCGUGGCUCCGGCCUGGAUCGUCUGCCGCUGCCGGGAUCCCCCAUGGAGGGUUCCGGGCUCGCAGCGGCCUCUGCAGGCGGCUCAACGCUCCCUUUCCUGCUAGCGCCCUCAGCCCUGACCCCCAGCAACUCCCCUCUCCCCUUGGCUUUCUUACUGACUGAGAGGCAGCCCGGCGAGGAGCCUCUGGAUUCUCAUUCCUACUUAGCAGGGCCUCAGCUCCUUCACCUCCGACAUGGGGAUUGAGAAUGCUCCGGCUAUGAAAAGCAUGGGGUCUGUCUCAGGACACAGCUCCCACAGCCCUAAGUGGGCAAAUGCCCCAAAGUGUCAAGCAUGAGCCACCUCUGAAGGAGCAUUUACUAUCUCAAGACCUUUGGGCAUGUUGUCCCUUCUACCUGGAAUACCCUUCCUUCAAAACUCAGAGCCAAAAGCAAAAAGCGUUCGCUGAUCGCAGAGGGGGAGAGGGAUGUGGGAGGGCUUGGGGCGCAGAAUUAGUUGCUACCUCCUCUGGGCGUUCACAGGCCAAAUUUCCUUGGUGUGGCACCUGGCAUUCUGUGAUUGUGCCUGUUUCCCUGUGGUCUGGUCCUGUGCCUAUUGGCCCAAUUACACUGGGAGUCAUACAGAUCUGCAAA
rnacentral:lncRNA from 1 species